rnacentral:rRNA from 1 species
UACGUAGGCAGCGAGCGUUGUUCGGAGUUACUGGGCGUAAAGGGUGUGUAGGCGGUUGUUUAAGUUUGGUGUGAAAUCUCCCGGCUCAACUGGGAGGGUGCGCCGAAUACUGAAUGACUAGAGUGCGGGAGAGGAAAGUGGAAUUCCUGGUGUAGCGGUGAAAUGCGUAGAUAUCAAGAGGAACACCGGUGGUGUAGACGGCUUUCUGGACCGUAACUGACGCUGAGACACGAAAGCGUGGGUAGCAAACAGG